AAACUGGAGAGUUUGAUCCUGGCUCAGAACGAACGCUGGCGGCGUGCUUAACACAUGCAAGUCGAACGAGAACGGAACCUUCGGGUUCUUAGUAAAGUGGCGCACGGGUGAGUAACACGUGGGUAACCUACCCAUCGGUGGGGGAUAACAGUUCGAAAGGACUGCUAAUACCGCAUACGUCCAUCGGCUCUUCGGAGCUGAUGGGGAAAGAGGCUUCGGCCUCGCCGACGGAUGGGCUCGCGGACCAUUAGCUAGUUGGUGGGGUAAUGGCCUACCAAGGCUUCGAUGGUUAGCUGGUCUGAGAGGAUGAUCAGCCACACUGGAACUGAGACACGGU
rnacentral:rRNA from 1 species